AGUCGUAACAAGGUCUCCGUUGGUGAACCAGCGGAGGGAUCAUUACCGAAGUUACCCUUCAAACCCAUUUGUGAACAUUACCCCUUGCCGCGUUGCCUCGGCGGGAGGUCUGGGGCGGGUCCGGGGAAACCCGCGCCCCGCCCCCGGCCCCCGCCGGCCGCGCCAAACUCUUCAUUUGCAAAGCGGACUGCAUGCUCUGAUUAGAUUUUUAAAACAAGUCAAAACUUUUAACAACGGAUCUCUUGGUUCUGGCAUCGAUGAAGAACGCAGCGAAAUGCGAUAAGUAAUGUGAAUUGCAGAAUUCAGUGAAUCAUCGAAUCUUUGAACGCACAUUGCGCCCGGCAGCAAUCUGCCGGGCAUGCCUGUCCGAGCGUCAUUUCUCCCCUCGAGCGCGGUUGCCCCUAGGGGCGGCUGUUGCUCGGUGUUGGGGCUCUGCGGGCCUCGCCCGCAGUCCCCGAAAUGAAGUGGCGGUCCCGCCGCGGCGCCCCCUGCGUAGUAAUAUCUGCCUCGCAUCGGGUCCCGGCGACGACCAGCCGUCGAACCUUUCUUUUGAUGGUUUGACCUCGGAUCAGGUAGGGUUACCCGCUGAACUUAAGCAUAUCAAUAAGCGGAGGAA
rnacentral:misc_RNA from 1 species